GAGAGAGAGAUUCUUAUGGAUCAUUUGUUCCUUCCCUGCCUCCUUCACAAUUAUCUUCUUCACAGUUCCCUCAUUUCCUUGUUAAGUUUGAUGAUCCAUUAAUGGAUUUCUAUGAGGGAUUCAGAAUAGCAGAUGAGAGUGUUCUUAGCAGAUUGGAUUGGUUUAACGCGAUAUUGGUCCGGUUCAAUUGGAAAGCAGUUCCUGUUAAGUUUCGGGUUCUGUUAUUUGAUUGAGCCGUGCCAAUAUCACGUGGUGCAACUCCUACUGACUCAAUCCAAGGCUGCAGGUUCUCCAUUAUUGUCUUCUUCUUGCUUAAGUUCUUCUUUUUUAUUAACUUAUGUGAUCCUUAUGGCAAUUCUUACAGUGAAUGUAAGUUUCUACUUAGCUUGCUUUCACCAUUUUUCUUUCUGCAAUUUUUAUCAAAUGAGGAUGAAGGAUUAUCCAUGGCCGAGCUCCAACUCGAAGAACUCUCUCUUCGAAGUUCAAAGUUCUAAGUCGUUGUUUCACAGGGUGAGGAGCAAACUCCACCAACAGUGGCAUAGAUAGGAUGCAAGACUGACCUAUAAUAAGAAGAAAGCAUUGCAUAAGGCUCAUAUCCUACUUAUUGAUGGCAGAGCCCAAGGAUCAAAUCUUGUCUCAUUAGAAGAAGUUGAGUAUGGAGGGAAUUAUCCUUGUACCAAAAAUAAUUAUAAUAAUAAGAUUUUCUUCUUCAAAACUGUGUUUUAGUAUGUUCUCACACUAUUAAUAUUUACCUAGGGGAUGGAGAGUUCUUGGAUAUGGGGUUAAAGUUUUUUGUUUUCCCAUCAGAGCGGAACCCAUGAAUGAGAUAGAUGUAAUAUAUACUACCCCAUUACAGUACAUGAAACACAUGAAUACAUGCAAGAUGAUCAAUGAUAAAGAAGGAAAGAAAGAUCUUAUUUAAGGUAAUCUCUUGUCAAGGAUGAAUGUCUAUUGUUAA